GUUCAAGAUCUUCUUCAGUUGUUUCCAGACCAUCUACCAGUGCAGUUGUUUCCAGACCAUCUACCAGGGGAGCUCAUGGUCAAUUUAUACGGUCCACAUCUGCAGGUACACUCCUUGAUGUAAGGACCAGCACUCCAGAAACAGGUGUUGGAAGAGCAACUGAAUAAGAGAUGAAAAGUCCUGUUUUGAUGGAAUAGAAGAAAUCACAGAUUUGGGAACACAUACCAUGGCAUUUUCUCUGAAUCUGACUUUGAAGAAAUUGACGGUUGCUGUGACCUAAGAGAUAAUAAAGUAGAUUCUUUGGAUUAAUGUGUAUUAGUAGCCUUGAAGUAAUUAUCCACAGAUGGAGUUGAAGGGCCACCAGCUUUAAUUUGCUUUUCUUUUUGUGGAUUUUUACUAGGAGACAUACUGUUUUUUAUUGUAUAAAACUUGCCUAGUAAAAGCAAUGCCCAAUUGGUGAUGUGUUUCUUUAAAUAAUCUCUGAAAUAAACACUGGUGCUUUGUACUAAA